GGGCGUAUGGUCUAGAGGUAUGAUUCCUGCUUUGGGCCUUUGAAACUCUUAUGCAGGGGUCCCCGGUUCAAUCCCGGGUGCGCCCC
rnacentral:tRNA from 1 species